UGGAGCAGAAAGCAGGAAUUUGCCAAGCAGACAAUCAGGAGAGGUUUGGGGUUCCUUGGUGGUACAAUGGGGUAUGGGGCACAGUACAGAGGCCUUGAAUACUGGGCUUAUUAACAGAUAGGGUGUCUCCAGUCCAGGGGUUUCCACUCAUUGUGCAUCUAAAUCAGAUGGGGAGCUCUUAAAAAGUCUGCUUCAAUGACUGGGUCUGGCCACAGGAUUUGCUGAAAGGCCCCCAGGUGAUUCUAAUGUGCAGCCAAGUUUGGGACCCUCUUGGCUGGGUGCCCUCAGCUCUCAGCAUCAGGACCUCAUUCUCCUGCUGGUUCUCCACUUACACAGCUUAAAAAUGUCAAGCCUGGAACAUUGCCCCAGAGUGAAAGGUGGAGGAGGAAGGCAGAGAAGUGAAUAUUCCAGUUCUGCCUUGAAAACCAGCCCGGCCUCCCACGAAGUCCCUCGCCUGACACACCGAUUUGCCAGGGGCUGUGCCAAGGCCAGGCCGCUAGCUCUGCGGCCAUGUGCUGGGGCUGCCCAGCUGCCCAAGAGUCCAGAUGAAACAUCAAGAUAACAACGACAAAUCAAGGAAUCCUGCUGCUUUUUAAAAAGACGGCAACGCCCUGUCCACGUCUGACUCAUAACUCCCGUGUUUGCAUUUUAAAACCAAACUUUCCAGGCUGCAAACUUCCUUUCAUUUUUCUCUUAAUAGUUCCAGCAACAAA